GAACAUCGUAACAUUUACCAAGUUGGCUAAUGUAGGGCAUGCAAAAAGGUGAAGAAAAGGGUGAAAACUACAAUUCAGCCCUUGUACAUUGCAAGUUUAUUAUUGGACGUGAUUCAGCCACGAGUCAUAUCAAUAAUCUGCUCAAAAGGACGGAUGAUUAUUUGCUAAUUAAUUAUUUGAUUGUUAGAGCAGGAUUAACGCUCUCUCUUAAUAGAUUUUUUAGUGUAAUUUUGAUUUAAAAAAUAAAAAAAUUUAAUUACCAUAAGAGACGUCUCUUCCUCUCUUCGUCUGUAUCUCUUCCUCUCUAUCUCUCUCCUUAUGAUGAAUCCACAGCCGUCCCGAACCUGAUUCUGAACCUCCUCCGACGAUACCUUCGAGUCCUCGGACACCGAAGAAGAAGGUUAGCUCCAAACUGAAUCGAUGGUCAGUGGGCCGAGCUUUACGAUCCGGUGCCGUUAAGGAAUUGAUCAGAGAAACCCAUGUUCCAAGUCGAAAACUUUGACGAUGAGUUUGUUCAGAAGCUGGUCUAUGAUGCUCUCGUUUGGUUUUCCCUUCACGGGCUCGUCGUCGGUGACAAAACUUAUCAGAAAUCAGGAACAGUUCCAGGGGUUUUGAGUUUAGAUGCCCCAAUUGCAUUGCUACCAACUCCGUUCCUAGAAAGUUACUGGAACCAAGCUUGUGAAGUCGGCUCCUAUCUUCAACGAAUUGGUUGAUCGUGUCAACUUGGAUGCCAAAUUCAUACAGGGUUGUCUCUCCAGGACAUUUGUUUGGGUUUACACCGGUCAGAUUAUAUGCUAGACGAAGACACAAAAUCACUUCUUCAGAUAGAGAUGAAUACUAUUUCCUGUUCCUUUCCAGGCUUUGGUCGUCUUGUUACCGAGCUACACCAGUCAUCGCUUAGAUCUCAUGGGGAUCAUCUUGGGUUAGACUCUGAACGUGUACCCAAAAACACAUCCAAUAGCCAGUUUGCUGACGCAAUGGCUAAAGCUUGGUUGGAGUACAACAACCUAAGUACGUGAAAGAGCUUUUGUUGUUGUUGCAGUGAUGGCCAAGAAGUCUCGGUGGUUUAUUACAGAUCAUUUUCCAUCUGAAUCAGAAUGGAAUGCUAGGUUGCUUAUAGAGCAGUCCUCAGCAGUCAAAUGCCCGUCUAUAGCUUAUCAGUUAGCUGGCACCAAGAAAAUCCAGCAGGAACUUGCAAAACCAGGUGUUCUCGAGAGGUACAGUGGAUCAUCUUUUUAUUCAUGUUUCUGUUGGUUUAUUCCCUUCUAUAUAUUAAGUUUUGGUAAAACCAAACAAUUUGAUCACAAAUUUUCUCAUUUUCUCAUUUUCUCAUUCUCUAUAUAAAGUCAUAUUUUCUUUUCUCCUUCUCUAUAUAAAGGGUUAAUCAUUCUCUAUAUAAACCAAAUAAUUUUUUUUUAAGAACCCUUAAUUAAGAGACUAGCAUUGGAGCAUAUAAAUGUUGGUGUCUCUUAACUAAGUUCUUAAGUAAUAUUUAUUAUUAAAAAAGUCAUUAAGAGACCCUAAUGGGGUUGUAGGGUUUAUCAUGCUCUUAGAGUUUGCCGAUUUAUAAUAGUAAUUGAUCAUGAGAGAUUCCCAACGGAAAAAAGAAGCACGCCGUUGAAAUCAUAUUCAAAGAGAGUGUCAUAAAAUCGACCAGUCAAAGAUCAAACGGGAGACAUAAUGUAAGUCCACAAGCUCGGAAUUUCGGAAACAGACACAAAUUCGUAGACUUCGAGCUAGUCUAUCAAACAUCCAUAAAACAAAAUGGCUGUUGAAGCUUGCUUUAACAUAAGUGUGACAACCCGUCCCGUGGGAACUACCCGUCCAGUGGACCCCAGGUUCACAGCUCUGCAGGGCACCGACUCCAACCCCUCCAUUAUGAGCCCUCACUCACUCCAUAAUUAGGUUGUUGGUGCGCUUGACGUUACUCGAACCCAAGACCUCACCCUUUAACAGCAUUCCCACAUGACAAGUUGUUACCAAUUGAUCUGCAGUAAUGAUCCUGAUUUUUCUGGUGGGUCAGUUUGACAUUUAUUAAAAAUUAAAGUCCAAUUCUAUCUUUUUACUUUGUCCCACAUUGGAAGUUUAGAAAAUCUACUUCCCUUCCCUUCUCCUAUAAAAUAAACUUCACCCAUUCUUUUUAUUCUCAUCAAGUCAAAGUAUUUCUUUACGCGUGACGAGUUGUUGAAUUAUCCAACGAUCAGUUACUAGUGAAUUUUUCCGGUGGAAUUUCUGAGCGAGUUUCCGGCGGGAUUUCUGGACGAGCUUCUGGCGGGUUGUUUUGGUAAGUUUGUCGUCUUCCUAUUUCUAGUUAUAGGAGUCUAUUUAGGGAACGUUUCUAUUUCAGGAAAGUUGUCAUUUUAGGAAAGUUCUAUUUUAGGAAAGUUUCCAUCUUAAGAAAGUUUCCAUUUUGGGAAACUUUAUUUCCUGAGACUCUGAGCCUAAGCUGUUAACUCUCAUGUUGCAGCUGACCUCAGUUGACCAUCUUCAGCUGUUCAUUCCAGCCAGUAACUAAGGUGAGACCGACGGGCAGGAGUGAUUGCUAUCAGAUUGGUACUUUGGGAGUUUUAUUUCUUUCUUUUUCAGACUUGCGAUUUUUAUGCUUUUAUCGAUAUUUUCGGAAUUUAUUAUGUUAUUUGGAUUUAUGGCUAUUUAUUGAAUUUAUGGAGUGUGGAGACGAUUCAUGAGGAUUAAUAAAUGAUGAUUUCAUGAUUA